ACCCGCUGAAUUUAAGCAUAUAAGUAAGCGGAGGGCGAGAAACUAAAUAGGAUUCCCACAGUAAUGGCGAAUGAACGUGGAGGAGCUCAGCAUGAGAAUUGUGGCCUUCGGCCUUGAAUUGUAAUCUGAAGAUGUGUUGGCCAACGGGAACGCAAGCGCAAGCCUCUUGGAAAAGAGCACCGUUGAGGGUGAAGGUCCCGCUCGUCCCUUGCAUGCUUCCGUGUACGGCGCACAUUCAAAGAGUCACGUUCCUUGGGAUUGGAGCGCAAAUUGGGUGGUAAAUUUCAUCUAAAGCUAAAUAUGGACUCGAAACCGAUAGCAAACAAGUACCAUGAGGGAAAGAUGAAAAGGACUUUGAAAAGAGAGUUAAAAGUGCCUGAACUCGCUGUAGGGAAAGCGGAUGGAACCAGCUUUGCUUGGCAAGAUUGUUGCCGACCCGUCUCGUGUGCGAGGGGGAGCGUUGAAUGCCAGGUCGUGACCCGAAUGUUAGACGUGGGUCGCGAUGUUUCUUGCCUUGUGUGUCACAAACGGUUUGCGAUUGAAGACGACCUCUCGGGACAUGGAAGCUCGCCCCUGGGUGUGCGAACGUACCGUGCUUUUCCUUCUUUUAGACCGACCGCUGGCCCAGGCGUGGGCGGAAGUCAGCGCAAGCUGUGCUCGAAUGGCGUGCGCGCGUGUCCUCGUCACGAGGACGGCUAGCUUCCGCUCCGACCCUCGGUGCUUCAGCUCUUGUGACUAAUGGUUCUCUUCGACCCGUCUUGAAACACGGACCAAGGAGUCUAACAUAUGUGCGAGGUCUUUCGCUGAGAACGGUGAAAUAAUGGCGCAAUGAAAGUGAGUGCUGAGAACCAGUAGAGAAACAUCAGCAGCCGACCGAUCACUUGGGAGAGGUUUGAGCAUGAGCACAUGUGUUAGGACCCGAAAGAUGGUGAACUAUGCCUGGGAAGGGUGAAGUCUGCGGAAACGCAGAUGGAGGCCCGUAGCGAUACUGACGUGCAAAUCGUUCGUCAUACUUGGGUAUAGGGGCGAAAGACUAAUCGAACCAUCUAGUAGCUGGUUCCCUCCGA
rnacentral:rRNA from 1 species